rnacentral:misc_RNA from 1 species
UCGCGGCUUAUCACCGGCAGUCCCCUUAGAGUGCCCAACUAAAUGCUGGCAACUAAGGGCGAGGGUUGCGCUCGUUGCGGGACUUAACCCAACAUCUCACGACACGAGCUGACGACAGCCAUGCACCACCUGUACACCGACCACAAGGGGGACCCUGUCUCCAGGGUUUUCCGGCGUAUGUCAAGCCUUGGUUAGGUUCUUCGCGUUGCAUCGAAUUAAAGAACAUGCUCCGCUGCUUGUGCGGGCCCCCGUCAAUUCUUUUGAGUUUUAGCCUUGCGGCCGUACUCCCCAGGCGGAACACUUAACGCGUUGGCUUCGGCACAGGAGGAUUCGACUCCCCCCACACCUAGUGUUCAUCGUUUACGGCAUGGACUAC